GCUAGCGUAGCUUAAUUUAAAGCGUAGCACUGAAGAUGCUAAGAUGGGGCCCUAAAAAACUCCGCGUGC
rnacentral:tRNA from 1 species